AGUUAUUCCCAGAUCCCUCCCCAUUCCAACAGAUCUCUCCUCAAAUUCCAGCUCACCAGAUCCCACGCCAUGCCUACCACAUUACUUCCCCAUCAGAUCCUUUAUCAACCUAUCCCCACCAGAUCCUGCCACAAUUUAUCAAAUCUUCCCCAAUUUACUCAUCCCAUCUCCACCAGAUCUGACAGAUCUCUGCCUGCUUAAUCUCAGCAGAUUCCAAUGUACCAGAUUCAUUUCCCCCAUCCCAAUAUAUCACAACCCAGCAGAUUCACAGGAUACCUUCCCAGCUGAUCGUGCCACUUCCCAAAUGAUCAGCUCCUUACAGAUCAUACUAGAUCCUUUCCCACCCAUCCCAUCAGAUCCCUUCACCAUCAUACCCCACUAGAUCCUUCCAUGUCCCAUCAAAUCCCUCUCCACAUCUCUGAGCUAAUUUAGUAACCCUCACAGGAGUUUCUAAUAGAAUUGGAGAGGAAAAGGAAUCUCUCACUCCCACCAGAUCUCACCCCACAGUUGUUAACUAAUAUGGCAGCUACCAUGGAAGCACCAGGCAUGAUAAUAGGAGAGGAGGGAUCUAUGGAAAUUGCAACACAUUUCUCAAAACUUUUACUAUAAAUUGAUAACCAUAAUGGGAUCUCCUGAGACACUCAUAGGAGAGGAGUGCUCUGAAUGAUUUUCCUAGAUCCUUCCCCACAGCUCUAAUUUUGCUUGGUUGCUUGCAACCCACCAAAGAAGUAUUACUUUAUAACAUUAUUUUAUUCCUACUCCUAGAAAUCCAGUGCUGUUUAGCUGUGGCUUGCAAUAUGAAGCUGUACAUCAAGGCAUAUAUGGACAUACCUCCAUGAAGAAGUGUGCAUGGUGCAGUUUUGCUGCCUGUUUUCACAGAAGAUAAUGGAAGGAUUUGCAGCUGUGCAAAUGUCUAACACAGAUGUGCUGUCCUAGUAUCCUGAUGCAGCUUCCCUGGUUUGAAAAACCAAGGAUCUGGACAAGACAGGGAGUUGGGAGAGUGAGGACAACCACACAUAUGCAAAAGCCACCCUGCUGUGUCAAGGCAGGAUCUCACAGAUGUGGCAAAUGAGCUGCUUACCACAAUGUAGCUUGAUGUGCUCCAUAUCUGACAGACCAUGUCCUCAUGUGGCCAAGAUGCAGCACAACAUUUUUCCACACAGGCAUAUCAAUUCUAAUGGCAGUGCUGUGGCUAGGAACAUUGCUGCAAUGCCCUCCAGAUUCCUGAGGAUUUGCAAAGCAACCAGCAGUCUCCCCCUAACUCCUAUUGUCUUGAAAUGAGUGGUGUGUUUGUCAAGGUAGGAGAGGGGACCCAAGACAGUAGAAGCUUCCCUGCCAGGACCUGUGCUCUCCACAGGAAGAAGUGAGCUGCCUGUUGCCUUUCUUCCCAUUAUCUCUUCCAACAUCUUGAAACUGCUGUUUUCAGGAGGAGGCAAAGGAGGCCACUGGCAGCGUUUCCAUCUCUGGAAGGAGGAGCAAGGCUCUCCCAACAACACUGUAGUCUAGAGAUGGGGAGAAAGUUCUUGUUUGCCUUCUAGCUGCCAAGGAGCUCUGUUGCCCACAGUUAUGCAGCAAGUAUCUUUUGUUUUAAUAUACUUCAGAUUAAGUAAUUACAGCAAUGCACAAUGUACCCUAGAAAAUUAGAAAGGUUGAAAAUGUGGGUUUUUUUAAUAUGCACACACAAAUCAAAAUCAACAGGAAAAUGAAUAACCUAUUUGGUGGUACAAUGUACCAACAAAAUAGUGUAAUAAAAAUGAAAUUAUUUAAAGUAAUAUUCCAAUCAUACAGUCAUCAUUGAUUUAGUUUCCAAUUAUACAGAGGUAAUUGUAUUAAGGAACUGCCUCGUUCACUGCUUGCUGAGGAAAUGCUUGAGUGUUUUAAUGU